GACGAACGCUGGCGGCGUGCUUAACACAUGCAAGUCGAACGGAAAGGCCCUGCUUGCAGGGUCCUCGAGUGGCGAACGGGUGAGUAACACGUGGGUGAUCUGCCCUGCACUUCGGGAUAAGCUUGGACAACUGGGUCUAAUACCGGAUAGGAGCCAUCUUUAGUGUGGUGGUUGGAAAGUUUUUUCGGUGUAGGAUGAGCUCGCGGCCUAUCAGCUUGUUGGUGGGGUAAUGGCCUACCAAGGCGGCGACGGGUAGCCGGCCUGAUAGGGUGUACGGCCACACUGGGACUGAGAGACGGGCCAGACUCCGACGGGAGGGAGAAGUGGGGAAUAUUGGACAAUGGGCGCAAGCCUGAGGCAGCGACGCCGCGGGGUGGAUGAAGGCCUUCGGGGUGUAAACUACGUUCGCGAGGGACGAAGCUUUGUUGUGACGGUACCUAAAGAAGAAGCACCGGCUAACUACGUG
rnacentral:rRNA from 1 species